AUUGAACGCUGGCGGCAUGCCUUACACAUGCAAGUCGAACGGUAACAGGUCUUUCGGGCUGCUGACGAGUGGCGAACGGGUGAGUAAUACAUCGGAACGUGCCUAGUAGUGGGGGAUAACUACUCGAAAGAGUGGCUAAUACCGCAUGAGAUCUAUGGAUGAAAGCAGGGGACCUUUGGGCCUUGUGCUACUAGAGCGGCCGAUGGCAGAUUAGGUAGUUGGUGGGAUAAAAGCUUACCAAGCCUACGAUCUGUAGCUGGUCUGAGAGGACGAUCAGCCACACUGGGACUGAGACACGGCCCAGACUCCUACGGGAGGCAGCAGUGGGGAAUGUUGGACAAUGGGCGCAAGCCUGAUCCAGCAAUGCCGCGUGCAGGAUGAAGGCCUUCGGGUUGUAAACUGCUUUUGUACGGAACGAAAAGUCUUGGGUUAAUACCCUGGGAUCAUGACGGUACCGUAAGAAUAAGCACCGGCUAACUACGUG
rnacentral:rRNA from 1 species